rnacentral:rRNA from 1 species
AUUGAACGCUGGCGGCAGGCCUAACACAUGCAAGUCGAACGGCAGCGGGGGAUAGCUUGCUAUCCUGCCGGCGAGUGGCGGACGGGUGAGUAAUGCAUGGGGAGCUGCCCAGUCGAGGGGGAUAACAACUGGAAACGGUUGCUAAUACCGCAUACGCCCGUUGGGGGAAAGGUGGGGAACUUCGGUCCUACCGCGAUUGGAUGCGCCCAUGUGGGAUUAGCUAGUGGGUGAGGUAACGGCUCACCAAGGCGACGAUCUCUAGCUGGUCUGAGAGGAUGACCAGCCAAACUGGAACUGAGACACGGUCCAGACUCCUACGGGAGGCAGCAGUGGGGAAUAUUGCACAAUGGGGGAAACCCUGAUGCAGCCAUGCCGCGUGUGUGAAGAAGGCCUUCGGGUUGUAAAGCACUUUCAGUCAGGAGGAAGGGGUGAUGGCUAAUAUCCAUCAUCAUUGACGUUACUGACAGAAGAAGCACCGGCUAACUCCGUGCCAGCCGCCGCUGUAA